rnacentral:rRNA from 1 species
UACGUAGGGUGCAAGCGUUAAUCGGAAUUACUGGGCGUAAAGCGUGCGCAGGCGGUGAUGUAAGACAGAUGUGAAAUCCCCGGGCUCAACCUGGGAACUGCAUUUGUGACUGCAUCGCUGGAGUGCGGCAGAGGGGGAUAGAAUUCCGCGUGUAGCAGUGAAAUGCGUAGAUAUGCGGAGGAACACCGAUGGCGAAGGCAAUCCCCUGGGCCUGCACUGACGCUCAUGCACGAAAGCGUGGGGAGCAAACAGG